CUAGGGGUGUUCGUGGUUCUAUUUGGGCGGUUUUGGCGCUAAAAAUCAUUUGAACCGCAAGAGAAAAAACAUGUGGUUCGGUUUGGUUCGAUUGGAUUUUAGAAAUAAAAUUGAAUCAAACUAAACCAAACUAAUGCAGUUUGGAUUAGUCUGAUUGGUUCAGUUUUUUACAAGAUUUUUAUUGAGUCAUACAUAUACCUAUAGAGAACAACAUAACUUUUUGUUUAGUCAUUCAUAGAUUACCAAAUAACAAAAGAACUCAUCAUAUUUAGACAAAACCCUCUCAUUCAAUAUAUAAAAAUCAUAUUGGACAAAAAUGGAAAAAAUAGUAGCAUAAAAGAAUAUCAAAAACAUUAUAAUAAAAUAGAAAAAAUAGAGGAGAUGAGAGAUUAAAAAAGAUGAAAAAGAAAGAACAUAAGAGAUGUGAGAUUAGACAAUAAAGGUGCAAUGAAAACAUAAUUAGAAAAGAAAAUAUUAACAUAAAA
rnacentral:lncRNA from 1 species